UUAUAGCAUUCUUACAUCCAUGCAUAAGGAAAUUGAAUUUAAUCUACAAAGCAUUAAAUAUUUCCCAACCAUGAAGGCAAUUCUUAUUGCAUUCUUACUCUUGGCCUCUAUUUUCUUCCAUCCCAGUUCAACUCUAGCUCGACAACUGAAAGAAGCAGCAGUGAGGGAUAAGAUUGGGGAUCCUUCGGAUCCUAAUCAUCCAGUCAUUAAAUGUGAUCCUGGUAAACCGUAUAGUAGUUGCCUACCAGUACCACCACCAAAGUGUACUCUUCCAUAUAAGCGUAAUUGCUGAGGAAUGAUAAUUAUAUUUAUCUGGAUUCUAUCGAUCCCAUCCAGGGGACAAAUAUGUAGUCUUAAUAAGUUGAUGGUGCCACAACUUUUUAACACUAUGAUCCUGUGUUAAAACUUGCUGCUAUCACCUCUAUAUUUUGCCUUGGGAUUUCGUGUGGUUUGGCUGAAUAAGAAGCGUGUUUAACUGUUUAUCCCGUUUGAAGUUGCAAUAAUCUUGUAGUGUUGUGAUACAAAGGACUGGCCUUUAGGUUAGUCCAAUAAAUAAAAACUUGAUUAUGUGUCUUUCAAUUUUA